AUUGAACGCUGGCGGCAGGCCUAACACAUGCAAGUCGAGCGGAGCGGCGGACGGGUGAGUAAUGCCUAGGAAUCAGCCUGGGAGUGGGGGAUCACGUCCGGAAACGGGCGCUAAUACCGCAUAAUAUCAGAUGAGCCUAGGUCGGAUUAGAUAGGUGGUGGGGUAAAGGCCUACCAAGGCGACGAGCCGGAACGGGUCUGAGAGGAUGAUAAGUCACACUGGAACUGAGACACGGUCCCGACUCCUACGGGAGGCAGCAGCUGGGAUUAUUGGGCAAUGGGCGAAAGCCUGAUCCAGCCAAGCCGCGGGGGUGAAGAAGGUCUUUGGAUUGUAAAGCCCUUUCAGUUUGGAGGCGUGACCAUCAGAAUAAGCUCCGGCUAACGUAGUGCCAGCAGCCGCGGUAAGUCC
rnacentral:rRNA from 1 species